rnacentral:snRNA from 1 species
GUGUUCUUUUAAUGAACGCAG